CCUCAAAUCGGGUAGGACUACCCGCUGAACUUAAGCAUAUCAAUAAGCGGAGGAAAAGAAACUAACAAGGAUUCCCCUAGUAACUGCGAGUGAAGCGGGAAAAGCUCAAAUUUAAAAUCUGGGUAGUCUUUGGCUAUCCGAGUUGUAAUCUAAAGAAGCGUUAUCCGCGCUGGACCGUGUAUAAGUCUCCUGGAAUGGAGCGUCAUAGAGGGUGAGAAUCCCGUCUUUGACACGGACUACCAGGGCUUUGUGAUACGCUCUCAAAGAGUCGAGUUGUUUGGGAAUGCAGCUCUAAAUGGGUGGUAAAUUCCAUCUAAAGCUAAAUAUUGGCGAGAGACCGAUAGCGAACAAGUACCGUGAGGGAAAGAUGAAAAGAACUUUGGAAAGAGAGUUAAACAGUACGUGAAAUUGUUGAAAGGGAAACGCUUGAAGUCAGUCGCGUUGACCGGGGAUCAACCUUGCUUCUGCUUGGUGUACUUCCUGGUUGACGGGUCAGCAUCAAUUUUGACCAGUGGAAAAAGUUCAAGGGAAUGUGGCAUCUUCGGAUGUGUUAUAGCCUUUGUUCGUAUACAUUGGUUGGGAUUGAGGAACUCAGCACGCCGCAAGGCCGGGUUUCGAACCACGUUCGUGCUUUGGA
rnacentral:rRNA from 1 species